GCGCCUGUAGCUCAGGCAGGAAAGAGCGCGGGACUUCGGAUCCCGGGGUCGGGGGUUCAAAUCCCUCCAGGCGCG
rnacentral:tRNA from 1 species